UAAAAAGAUCGAUAAACAAUUACAAAUCUAUAAUUCUGCUUUUUAAUAAAUGUUAUAUUAUUUUUAGAACUUUAGACUUAUGAAUUAGUGUUACAUGUUUUUACGAUUUUACCUGCUGUGUAAAUGCAAUCUCAAUAUGGAUAUGAGUUUGUUUGAUACAGUAAUGACUACAUUUGGUGUUUUAUUGACCAUGGCUUUAUUAAGCUGUCUUUGCUGUUUAUGUAUGAAAUUCAGUGAUCUAAAAAUGCAACGCUACCUCCUGGAUUUGGCGAAACGAAAGGGAGUACAUAUAGAUGUUGAAAAAUUGGGUCCAAAAUAUAGUACUCAAUCACCUUUGGCGAAGGAAAAUUGUACAAUCAUCAUUCCUGACGUUGCUAUCAUUCUUUAGUUUAUUAUAAUAGCAACUAGUAUACCAAGAUACAUUAUUAAUACUAGUAAGUAAAUUAGUAUUGCUGAUCUAAUUUGGGUUCUUUUAUAUGAAUGUAAAUAUUUGUACAUUGAUAAUAAGCAAAUAUUGUAGUAUUACCGACUGUCCACUUUUGUCAUCUUUGCGGUGUACAGACGUAAAUAUUCUAACAAUUUUAUACAAACUAUAUUCUAUUUUCAAAAGAGCAGUUUCAUGUUCUUUCUACCCACGAUUGCCUUGACCGCGGAAUAUAUCUAACAAUUCCAUUACUUCGUCACAAAUAUGCUUUAUUUUUUAAUAUGAUAAUGAUUGUGCUAUUUCAACUGUUAGAAUGUUGGCCUAAUACCAAUAAUAUUCAAAAUACUCUAAAAACGUUAUCUGUCACGCAAUUUAUAAGGGUUGAAGAAUUCUUAAAUUAAUCACCU